CCAAUAGCGUAUAUUAAAGUUGUUGUGGUUAAAAAGCUCGUAGUUGAACCUUGGGCCUGGCUGGCCGGUCCGCCUCACCGCGUGUACUGGUCCGGCCGGGCCUUUCCCUCUGUGGAACCCCAUGCCCUUCACUGGGUGUGGCGGGGAAACAGGACUUUUACUUUGAAAAAAUUAGAGUGCUCCAGGCAGGCCUAUGCUCGAAUACAUUAGCAUGGAAUAAUAGAAUAGGACGUGUGGUUCUAUUUUGUUGGUUUCUAGGACCGCCGUAAUGAUUAAUAGGGACAGUCGGGGGCAUCAGUAUUCAAUUGUCAGAGGUGAAAUUCUUGGAUUUAUUGAAGACUAACUACUGCGAAAGCAUUUGCCAAGGAUGUUUUCAUUAAUCAGGAACGAAAGUUAGGGGAUCGAAGACGAUCAGAUACCGUCGUAGUCUUAACCAUAAACUAUGCCGACUAGGGAUCGGACGAUGUUACUUAUUGACUCGUUCGGCACCUUACG
rnacentral:misc_RNA from 1 species